CCUGGUCUGUGAUGACUCCUUUUCUAAUGGUGACAGCUGGAUGAAUCCUGCGGAUAUGGGACUGAGACUAAGC